rnacentral:lncRNA from 1 species
AAACUCAUAAAUAGCUAAACUAGUAGUAUUAUAUCAAAAUAUAUGAAACUCAUUGCUGGCUCACAAACUAUGUAUUCUGCAUUCAUCACAAAAUGCAAGCAUGUUCUGCCUUCACAUAAUGAACAUACUGGACUACCUGAAGCCUGACAAAUUUCCACACAAGUAUAUCCUCAAACGGUACACAAAGACUGCAAAAUCACAACCAACCUUUGAUACAAGGGACUACAACACAACUGCAUCGGAUGGCAGCUCAAGACCAUCGAGGCAAGACAUCUUGCUAUAGCUAAAUUUGAUGGUUAACAAGAAAGCGAUGAGAUGUGACCAACAAUAUGACAGAGCCUUCUAUGUUCACAAGAGGCUGGUGGAAGAGCUUGAUGCAAUACAUUCAGCAAAUCGAGCCGAUGCUGACGAAAGGAUGGCUGAAGAGGAUGCUGAAAUUGAAGAUGACCUUCAUUAUUAUGCAGUUGAAAUGCUCAACGCCGCUGCUCAAGCCAACCAAUGCAAGCAGGGUGUUGACCAAUUAAUGCAGUAGCGGCAACAAGAGAUGAUGAAACUGCCGCUGUACUCUGAAACAAAGGGCAGGAAGAAAAUUUCUGUAGCAAAGAAAAGUGACAAGAGAGCUCAAAUAAAGGCACCACCUGCAGGAAGAGUCGUCGUGCUCGAUGAGAACGGAGUGCCACUUGGACACAGGCAAUGUAAUGUGUGCAAAAUGGUUGCAGGACACAACAAGCUCACCUGUCCAACACUCAUAGAAAGAAACAAUGCCGAGGAGGUCAAGCAACCCAAAGUUCAAAAACAACAGCCCAAAGUUAUAGAACAAAAG